UUGCUCGUGGGGUGCUGCCCAGGGGCUCUCUGCAGGGGCAGCAACCAGGAAGACCUGUGCCGCCCCUUCCGGGAGCUUCAGUGCACCAGGGUUCCAGAUGGUCUUUGGCUUUUUCCUCUGGCGUCCGAGAUGUGUGUGCAGGGAGCAGUCUCUUCUGGUUUCCCAGGCUUGUCUGCCUCUCUGAAGGUUUAGCUCUCCCUCCCACGGGAUUUGGGUGCAGAGAACUGUUUAUCCGGUCUGUGUGUAUCUACAUUCUUAUACCAGUAACACUGAAUGCAGCAACGUCAAAAUCUCUGUGAUGACAAAUGAUGAGGGGGAAUCUUCCAUCUUCCUCUCAGGGCAGAGGAAUGACUGCAGGGACCCGAACCACGAAAGCUGAAUCUUCAUGUAACCAGGAUCAGCAAGUCUCACCAACCACCUCUGGCAGCUGGCAUAAUCUUGUAGCAUCCCACGUCCUGUAGCUUCUGGACACUUUCCGUGAACGGAGGCUGUCCUUGGCGCCGGCGAUGGUCAGGCGUUUUUUCCGGGUUUUGGCACCAAAUAUCCUGCACUAUCGUCUCGCCAGCAAGAACACGCGAGGACACCAGGAUCCUUCUGCAGCAAAGUGUUUAUUACAUCUUGAAGAGGAGAGGUGUUAUGUUUUCUAAUGUCCUUUUUUUUUUUUCUUGACAAACCUAGAAGCAGUUCGAGAAGAGAGCGCCCAGUGCUUGGAUCCUAAGAAGGAUGUCUCCUGGAGACUGUCAUGGCGAACCUUCUGGCAGCAGAGGUGGUUUCUCUGUGGAUCCAGCAUUGGUAACUCCAUCUUCUCUGUAAGAAAUUGUAGCAAGCUGGUGGCUGUUUUCCUGGGUUGCCUCACCCUUUCUGGUUUAGCUUAUCAGCUUUUCUGAGCCCUAUCCGCAAAAUUUCUGUGUGUACGUCUUUCUGUUUUCAAUAAUUGGCUGCCAUGUUUUAAAUUUAAGUGAGUAAACUUAAUUAAAUAAUUAAAUUUAAAUAAAAGUAAAUAGUUCAAUUGAAA